rnacentral:rRNA from 1 species
UGAGUAAUGUCUGGGAAACUGCCUGAUGGAGGGGGAUAACUACUGGAAACGGUAGCUAAUACCGCAUAACGUCGCAAGACCAAAGAGGGGGACCUUCGGGCCUCUUGCCAUCAGAUGUGCCCAGAUGGGAUUAGCUAGUAGGUGGGGUAAUGGCUCACCUAGGCGACGAUCCCUAGCUGGUCUGAGAGGAUGACCAGCCACACUGGAACUGAGACACGGUCCAGACUCCUACGGGAGGCAGCAGUGGGGAAUAUUGCACAAUGGGCGCAAGCCUGAUGCAGCCAUGCCGCGUGUGUGAAGAAGGCCUUCGGGUUGUAAAGCACUUU